AAUGUUAGAUAGCCAUGCAUGUCUAAGUAUAAAUGAUAUACCGUGGACUGCCAAUGGCUCAUUAAAACCAUUAUAGUUUAUUUGGUAAUCGAAAUUACAUGGAUAACCGUGGUAUUUCUAGAGCUAAUACGUGCUGUAAAGCCCGACUUUUUGAAGGGCCGAAUUUAUUACAUAACAGAUCAAUAUUCCUCGUGUCUAUUGCGGUGAAUCCUUCUAACUAAUCGAAUCGCAUGGGCUUCUGCCGCGACAAACCAUUCAAGUUUCUGCCCCAACUACUUUCGAUGGUACUGUAUUGGACUACCUUGGGUUUUACUGGUAACAGAGGAUUAGGGUUCCAUUCCGGAGAGGGAGCCUGAGAAACGGCUACCACAUCUAAGGAAGGCAGCAGGCGCGUAAAUUACCCAAUUCUAAUUCCUAGAGGUAGUGACCUCAAAUAACGGGUCGGGACUAUGUCCCGGGACUGCAAUGAUAUGAAUUUACACCCCUUUUUGUGUAACCAU
rnacentral:rRNA from 1 species